rnacentral:rRNA from 1 species
AGUAAUACAUAAGUAACCUGCCCUAGACAGGGGGAUAACUAUUGGAAACGAUAGCUAAGACCGCAUAGGUACGGACACUGCAUGGUGACCGUAUUAAAAGCGCCUCAAAGCACUGGUAGAGGAUGGACUUAUGGCGCAUUAGCUGGUUGGCGGGGUAACGGCCCACCAAGGCGACGAUGCGUAGCCGACCUGAGAGGGUGACCGGCCACACUGGGACUGAGACACGGCCCAG